UGAACCGUGAGAUCAUGACCUGAACCAAAGUCAGCCGCUGAGCCACCCAGGCACCCCCAACUGCCCUUGUUGAUCACUUUUCUUUAUAUUUGUGUGUUGGCAAAAAGCUUGAAGUGACCACCUACUUGAUGGGCUUCCGGAGAGAGUAGGAAAUGCUCUUGGGAAAAUUUUAUCUUAAGUAUUAUUAUUAUUAUUAAAAUAAGACAUUAGCACAAAAUGGUGGCAGGAGUGGGAGGUGGAUGGAUCAGAUGAGACGACCUGGGGAGGUUUAAUAAGAUCAGAGUAUUGAAACUUCAAGGGAAUAUGGGAGCUACCGUGGCAGCUCAGAAAGUCUCAGCAAUGUGGCAUGCGUGCCUGGAUGCAAUGGCCCGGGCUCAGCAGGGUGUGUGUGCCUUUGUGGCAUGUCUGUCGUUGCAUACCUGCAGUGAGUGUGUGUGUGUGUGUGUGUGUGUGUGUGUGUGUACCCGCAUGAUGGGCCUGGUGCACAUGGGGUUAUAGAACUUUUCAUCAGAAAGGAGUCUGUGUGUGUAUGCGUGUGUAUGUUUAGGUGUGGACAUCUCUGUGUGUGUUUUGAGUCCUGUUUCCAUGAGAGGGUGACUUCCUUCACCUGUGUGCACUUGGAGAUUUUUUUUCCCUUUUUUUUUAUUCCAGUAAAUGUAGCUUGAAAGCUGAGGAUAGCACAGCUUUUCCCCAAACACAGAUCACAUCACAAUUUUUCUUUCAGAGAAAAAUGCUACAAAAUAACCUGCAGAUGGUGAGUCUCCCUCUUUUUUUUCCUCUCUUUCUGUCUUGCUCUUUCUCUGUGGCUUUCUGUCUGUGUCUCUGUCUCUGUGUUGGUAUCUCUGCCUCUAUCUCUAAGGCCCUAUUUAUAGCUUAAAAUGCUCUCAUAUUUUCACACUUAGCAUAUGAAAUGUCCCCAUGUUACAUAAAAUAACACACAUUUGAGUCUGUAAUUAGAUCAGUGUCUCAUCCCACGUUUCACCUAGGAAAACCCUGGACAUUGUUCCUUGCCCCUGCCCCUACCCACAAGCAUCGCCGGGCCUGAGGAUCCUGCCCUAACCCUUUUCUGGGGUCUGUUUUCCCAACUCCUGAUGACAACCCUUCCAUCUGCCUCCUCCCUGCUCCCUUGCUGACCCUCUCUGCUGCCUCUGACAGGGGCUCAGUGUUCCAGGGGCAGCUUGAAUCAUCAGAGACCUCCUCUCCCCAGAGCCAGAAAAAUUGUCCCGUUCCUUGUCCUCGGAGUCUCUGAGCACAGUCACAAAAUUCAGUCCCCCAAACUGCCCCAAUGCAAACACUGCCCAGAGGAAAGGAAAGCUCCGACCGACUCUUUUUCGUGAAAUAAGGAGAAGCUUUUUUUUUUUUUUUUUAAAGGAGGAAGAAGCCGAGAUUCAUCUCUAACCAAUCUGGACAUGUGUUCGGGAAUAUUGUUGAGAACAAUUAGGGAUGUAUGAGUGAGGGGUUUAUUUCUCACUUGCUUGUCAGGUCAGAAGACAAUCUGUUUAUUUUCCUGCUACAAUUUGAUUCAAUAAAUUGAAAGGAUGUGCGCCGGGGAAGAGGGUAUGAACAGGAUGUGUGCUAUCAAUUUGUCAAAUAAAUAAUCGAGCUUGGAAACAACAGAUUUUAUUAAUUAGACAGGAUGGUGUAUUAUUACCAUUAAAGUGUUAUAUUGCAUUGAUUUUUAUAUUUUACUCGGCUACUAAUUACUGUAAAAGAUUUCGGGAAUGAAGCAAAAUAAAAUCAUGCAGCAUUAUACAUAAUGUAAAGAUAGCGUGAAUUAAUUUGUCCGCUGCUCCCCGCCUGCCUGCCGCGGGAGUGGAAGAGGCCAGAAGUGGCCUCCCCUGCGGGGGACCCGCACCCCCUGCCCUGCCUUGACUGGGGGUAGGCGGGUGGGGGGACAACUGGGAGGACUGGGGUUCCAGACCAGGCUCAGCCAUGCCCUAGCUUUGCCCCCUUUGGCGGAUCACCUCUUCCGGAAGCCCGAGUUUUCUCUUUUGUAAAUGCAAGCCCCUCUUUGCCUGCCUCCCGGAGGGGUAGUAAAGAUGUAACGAAUUCCCAAGAGUAAAAGCGCUUGGGAGAGCCAGUCUGACUUAGAAGAGGAGGCAGACAGGAGGGGGCGGCUCGGGCCAGGCCCCCUCUGCGGGAGACGGGCCCCUGCCGCUGGGCUUGGCAGCGCAGGAGAGGCCAUCGCAGCCACUCCCCUCCGGGGACAGUGCUCCAGAACCGAGGCUCACCAGCCCGGGGCCACAGCACCGCUGAGCAGAGCCCGUCACCGGAAAGGCCACGGAGGCCGCCCGCAGGACAGCGGGCGCUCCUCGCGCCGGAGGCCCCAAGGGUGCUGCUCAGCGGGUGGAAGCGCGGGCUCCGGGCACGCGCGCGGAGCAGGGUUCGAAUCCUGCCCGGCCACGGUCGCGCGCUGUGGCCACAGCCAGACCCCUUAACCUCUCUGAACGGCUGUUUCUCCUUCACUUAAAAAACAAAACAACAAAGCUAUUCGCUCAGGAAGUAAAUUCCCACGCCAGGCACUCGUUCUGGGUUACAGUGCAGGGAGACUGCCAUCAGUGAGGAAGCGGGUCCCCUCAUGAAUCUACCAGCCGUGUGAUCUUGGACUUGCCAGCCUCUAGAGAUGUGAAAACUAAAAGUGAACAUACUGAGAUGCAGAGAAGGACAAGUCGCUGUUUGGGUUGGGAAAGCUAGGUUCCCACGGAUUCCCCAAAGAAGCCAGCCCCGGACCAAGCUAACAUAGCGUGAUAGAGCAGAGGUGAACAUGGCUUUGGAAGGCAGGCAGAGUCCAUCUCAGCUCAACCAAUUGUUUGAGUGAUCUUAGGAAGGGUAUUUACCUAUGAAUCUCAGUUUCUGCACCUUUAAAAUAGGGUAACCACACCACCUCCCAGUCUUGCUCUAUGAAUCAGUUGACAAAAUGAAUGUAAGGCCCUCGAGUAAAUACCUGACUCACAGCAAGGGCGCACUACGUGGUAGCCGUUGCCACUAUGAUUGUGACUCAGCGGCCAAGGCCCGGCUGUGCGUUAUUUACGUGCGCGAUAGUCUGGUUGUGUCUUCUGCCCGAGACGGUUCCUGAGAGCAAAAUGCUCGAAGUUCUCCACACCCAGCUGUGCACAUGGCCGGGAACCGAGACCACUCACAACAGGGCCUAUUUCCGUGACCAGUGGAUGCCAAUGGCCCCUCGCUGGAAACGUUGACGAGCGCGGCUCAGGACACAGAAGCCGCCAACAGGCUUCCAAACUCUGCCAAGCCCUCCUGCCCACUCGAGCACCAAGGGGAGGGGGUGACUGUGGCAUAAACACACGUUUGCUUUCAUUUGGCUUAGCUGACUGUGUGUUUUGUUAAACACAUUUAGGUUUGGAAAAGAUUAUUUUUGGUACACUGCUGCGUAAUUAGAUGAAUUUUCAUGAGUUUAUUCUUGAAAUAAACUUUGAAAUUGUC